UACAGAGGGUGCGAGCGUUAAUCGGAAUUACUGGGCGUAAAGCGCACGUAGGCGGCCUAUUAAGUCGGGUGUGAAAGCCCUGGGCUCAACCCAGGAAGUGCACUCGAAACUGGUAGGCUUGAAUAUGGAAGAGGGUCGCGGAAUUCCCGGUGUAGAGGUGAAAUUCGUAGAUAUCGGGAGGAACACCAGUGGCGAAGGCGGCGACCUGGGCCAAUAUUGACGCUGAGGUGGCGAAAGCG
rnacentral:rRNA from 1 species